GUAGGUGGCAAGCGUUGUCCGGGAAUUAUUGGGGCGUAAAGCGCGCGCAGGCGGUCCUUUAAGGUCUGAUGUGAAAGCCCACGGGCUCAACCGUGGAGGGUCAUUGGAAACUGGGGGACUUGAGUACAGAAGAGGAAAGCGGAAUUCCAAGUGUAGCGGUGAAAUGCGUAGAGAUUUGGAGGAACACCAGUGGCGAAGGCGGCUUUCUGGUCUGUAACUGACGCUGAGGCGCGAAAGCGUGGGGAGCAAACAGGAUUAGAUACCCUGGUAGUCCACGCCAUAAACGAUGAGUGCUAAGUGUUAGGGGGUUUCCGCCCCUUAGUGCUGCAGCUAACGCAUUAAGCACUCCGCCUGGGGAGUACGGCCGCAAAGGCUGA
rnacentral:rRNA from 1 species